rnacentral:pre_miRNA from 1 species
CAUGGGUUUAUGGUGUAUUCCAUCUCUUGCACACUGGACCCGGCUUUCGGCUUCAGUUCAGGUCUGUGUGCAAGGGAUGGAAUACGCUAUUGAGUCAUG